rnacentral:lncRNA from 1 species
GAAAGCUCAGCUCAUAAAUUGAAGGAUUUUUAGGAAAUUUUACUUACCUAGUAUGUAUAAAAAGAAAACAAGGUGGAAGGUUACUUAAGAGCGAGGAAUUAUCUUGGAUGUUAUUUUCAUCUUCAUCUCUUCUCUUUGUAAGGCUACCAUGGGGUAGCACUUGGAUGCCAUAGUUUUUUGGUGCCAUUGGUGUCAUAGGUAACUUUGUGUCUAUCUCUCUCUUAAC